rnacentral:lncRNA from 10 species
CGCGAGCCCAGCUGGGGUGGUAAAUAGAGUACAGUACCCGCGAGUGAUCCCUGACACUCAGCGCGCGCGCCCAGCUGAUCAAUGCCUGCGAGGCCCGGCAGUCCCAGGCUCGCCCAGGCCCGGCCGCCGGCCCGCGCGCACCUGCAGACGCUGCACGUCUUAAGUUUCGAAAAAGCCGGGAGAGGGAGAAGAAAGAAAUCUUCCUUUUGCAAAAGGAGGCAUAAUGUGGCUUAGAAACUCCUCGGAACCCUCGGAGGUUGCGCAUAAACAAUUUUUUCUUCCAGAACGGCCCCCCUCUCCGCCCUGGGGGAGCCGGGAGGAUGUGCAGCCCCAGUCCUCCUGCUCGGCGGAGCCUCGCGCGCGCAGAGCCUAGCGCGAUUCGCGCCCUCAUUACUACUACAAAGCGCGGGCCAGACCAAUCCCCUUUCUAAUGCACCAUUUUCGACUGAGAACAUCAAGAGGCCAGAAACUUCCAAGUCAGCUUGCAGACGCAGACGCCUCCUGGGGUCCUGGCUUUAAGAACCAGAUGCCAACACUCCCGGACAGUUUAUGGCAUCCGGAUCCCUCAAGGGUGCUCAUCUGCAGUUGAGAGUGUUAGUAGCAAUUAUUUAUCUGUCCUGGAGAGGAGUUCCUGAACAUAAAUGUCCUCUGCUGGCCCUAAAGCUGGGGGCGGAGGCUGUGUGUUGUGGGGUGGGGGUUGGGGGGCCGAAUGUUCCCGGUCCUGUUAUCUGGUUUAGCAGCAUUUGUUGUGGUUUUCGAGGAAACGGCAUUUGGAUUACAUAAGGAUUCAAGUGCUAAUAAAUGGCAUUAACAAAGCGUUUCAGCGACUACCACGGCUUCACAGUGGCUCCUCCCCUGCCCUGCCGGAUUCUGUGUGAAGAAUACAGAGACAGACGUUCCAUUUCAAAGAAAAAAGAGCAACACGAAGGCCCUCUUUAAGGAGAGAGUAAACAUUCACUUUAGGUAAAAAAUAGUCUUUUACACGCCUGUGCACGGCACACCUCUUUUGCUGUUCACCUUGAGCCCAAGAGUUUGGAAAGGCUGCCCCCAUUUCAGAGAGGAAGAAACGCAGGCACACGUGAAUGACAGACUCCUCUGUGGUGGCCUAGACUCCAGCCAACACUUCCUAGGACAGCCUGCCAUUGUGCAAAGUCACCAUGUAACAAAUGCAGACAUCUCUGAGAUCACCAUGCAGUGAGGAAGUCUAAGCUGGUGGCAUGAAGAGGCCACAUGGAAAGGGCUAAAAAAGGGGCCAGCCUCAGUCAUCCCAGCUGAGCACCUGGCUGGGAAUAAAAGAGGACUCCGUGGAUGUCCAGCCCAGUAAGAUGACCUCAGCCCCAGCCACCAACUGACCAAGCACACAAGACAUCGUGAGGCUGCCUGCUGGAGCCUGGCCAGUGGGACUGUAGAGUAACUCAUUGUGGUGCAGGAACUCCUGGGAUGGUGUUGCCCAGUGACACAAUCCCAGUGUGGCCAUUUCUGAUCCCGAGAAAGCAGUCAGGAGUGGGUGGAUGCAGUUACAGUUCAUCAAGUCCUGCUAGUUCAAGUCAUGAGUCCUGAAUUCUCCAGGAGGAGCCACUAAAGAAAUGCAGAAGCAGGCAAUCCUUGCAAUAAGGCCAGCAAACUGCCAGUGUGAAGGAUGCCCAGGUAACCUGCCCAUGCCAGAACGGCCAGGAGAUGGUGGAACCAGAAUCUAAGCCCACGCCCAUCUGACCUCAAAGUCUGUGCUCCUGAGGUUCGCACCGAGUUGCCUCCUAAGACUUGCUGAAACUGGAUCACGUCCAUUUACCCAUCUCUGAGAGAAAUGCAAGCUUUAAAAAAGGAAAUAUUUACUAUGGAUAUUUUACAAUAGUUCCAAAACAUGAAAGUUUUAAAUAAGAUAUUCUUAACCAUCCUCACCACAUCUUCGGUUUACUCCAGGAGCUUCAGUGGUGCAUGCUGAAUGUGCUGUUUCUUGGGCUGGGGGACAGAGAUGUGCAUGCUGUUAUACACUCUAUAUUGAAAUGAUUGUAUAACAAUAUACUAAUUUAUCAUGUAAUAAAUUUGACCAGAAAGAAACA